rnacentral:rRNA from 1 species
UACGUAGGGGGCAAGCGUUGUCCGGAUUUAUUGGGCGUAAAGAGCGUGUAGGCGGCCUGACAGGUCUGCUGUGAAAACUCGAGGCUCAACCUCGAGAUGUCGGCGGAAACCGUCUGGCUAGAGUCCGGAAGAGGAGAGUGGAAUUCCUGGUGUAGCGGUGAAAUGCGCAGAUAUCAGGAGGAACACCAGCGGCGAAGGCGGCGCUCUGGGCCGGUACUGACACUGAGGAGCGAAAGCGUGGGUAGCAAACAGG